UGGGGAAUUUUGGACAAUGGGGGAAACCCUGAUCCAGCCAUCCCGCGUGUGCGAUGAAGGCCUUCGGGUUGUAAAGCACUUUUGGCAGGAAAGAAACGUCAUGGGUUAAUACCCCGUGAAACUGACGGUACCUGCAGAAUAAGCACCGGCUAACUAAGUGCCAGCAGCCGCGGUAAUACGUAGGGUGCAAGCGUUAAUCGGAAUUACUGGGCGUAAAGCGUGCGCAGGCGGUUCGGAAAGAAAGAUGUGAAAUCCCAGAGCUCAACUUUGGAACUGCAUUUUUAACUACCGGGCUAGAGUGUGUCAGAGGGAGGUGGAAUUCCGCGUGUAGCAGUGAAAUGCGUAGAUAUGCGGAGGAACACCGAUGGCGAAGGCAGCCUCCUGGGAUAACACUGACGCUCAUGCACGAAAGCGUGGGGAGCAAACAGG
rnacentral:rRNA from 1 species